ensembl:lncRNA
GCAAUCCCACUGACCAUAUUUCCCUGGCUGCCUCGUUGUAGGUUUUAAUCUUAACUACAUUUUACACUCAGUGUUAUGGAUGUCGGUAGUUUUAAGAAUUGGUGAAAAUGCCACUUUUGUUACCUUCACAAAUUCUUUUGGACACGGGAGAGUCCUGAAAGUCUUUAGGAUACCAUGUAGGUUUAUGAUUGUUAAAGCAAUUAUAUGUUUAAAAAUUUAGAAAGUAAUCACAUUAUCACCAUAUGUGUACUUUCAUCAUAUUUGCACAUUGUUAAGUAAAUGAAGGGAGAGAAUUAACUGCAUUGCACUUUAUGAUGUGUGCCCUGUUAUAAAAUCUCGAGAGUGAAAACUUCCUUUAUAUGGAAUCAUCUGCGUUUUUAAAAAGGAUCUUCAUAAAACAUGCAAAGAACAGCUGCCUGUACUUGCAGCUGCAAGACAGAAAUAUUUGAGUACACAGUUUCUAUUUGUACCAAACCAGGUGAAGGACCCAUUCUAGGAAAAACUAUGAAGUCUGUGAAGUUUUGUUGUCAUUCUUAUUCCUUGAUUUUGAACAUCUUUUUAGCAACUUCUUUAUCCAACUGCAGAAACAUAGAACUUUGAUGUGUUCCUCAUUCUCUCUGACAAAGAAGAUACUUGUAUUUAAUAGAAGGGAGACAUUUAGAAGAAAGUUCUGGACUCUGAACUUAGGUUGAUCGAGAGUUGAAUCUCACCUUUAAAACUUAUGAGCCAUUGGAGUUCCCAUUGUGGCUCAGUGGUUAACAAAUCUGACUAGGAACCAUGAGGUUGUGGGUUCGAUCCCUGGCUUUGCUCAGUAGGUUAAGGAUCCGUCGUUGCCAUGAGCUGUGCUGUAGGUUGCAGACGCGGCUGGGAUCCCGUGUUGCUGUGGCUCUGGCGUAGGCCGGCGGCUACAGGUCCGAUUGGACCCCUGGCAUGGCAACCUCUAUAUGCCCUACAUGCGGCCCUGGAAAAGACAACAAAACAAAACAAAACAAGAAAAUACAACGUAUUAGCCAUCGAAUCUUUGGAAAAUUAACCUCAGUGAUUUCUCAUACAUUAGUUUGCUUAAAAAAUAAACAAAGAAAAAGAAACAAACUGUUGAACUAUGUUAGGCAUAAGCAUAAAAUACAGGCAAGCCUACCUUCUUGGCUUAUAAGAAUUAAAAUAAUAAUGCAUUUAGAACAAUCGAUAAAAUAUAUGGAAUACAUUGUAUGCUGAAUAUAAUUUGGAUUUUCUUGUCUUUUGUGUUAAUCUAAAAUUAAUUAUAUUUUAAAGUUCAUUCACAUCAUUUUACAUACACACUCAAAGCAAAUAUGUGUGCAUAUUGUGUCUGCAUGUUGUAUACAUUUCUUAUAAUAUCCUACUUAAUUUUUACAAUGCAAAUAUUUUAUCAUAAAGUAACAUAUAUAUACCAUAAUAUUGACUCUAACGUUGGAGUUGAACUGGAUGAUUGAAUGAGCUACAUAUUUAGGAGAAGAAAGAGCUUCUAAAGGCAGGCAUUUAUUGUUAUUGAAGUAAGGAACAAUUGAGAAAAGUCAUUUUAUGCUUAUCAUGUUCCCAAAUAUAUUGUGCCUUCAUAUACCCUAGUUAUACUACUGAGAUUUUGCUUCACCAUUUCUUAUUAAGUUCCUUAACUAUAUGCAUGGUGUAAAUUUUCUAUCAGAUUAAAUUGUUAUUGUAUUUUAUUUAAUUUUUACAAUGUAUUUGGUAUCAUCAUGUGAAAGAAAAAAAAAAAAAAA